GACGAGAUUAAGAUUCUGGGGUUGAC
rnacentral:sRNA from 1 species